rnacentral:rRNA from 1 species
CAGUCGCCGCGGUAAUACGAAGGGUGCAAGCGUUAAUCGGAAUUACUGGGCGUAAAGCGUGCGUAGGCGGUUUGUUAAGUCUGUUGUGAAAUCCCCGGGCUCAACCUGGGAAUGGCAAUGGAUACUGGGUCACUAGAGUGUGGUAGAGGAUAGUGGAAUUUCCGGUGUAGCAGUGAAAUGCGUAGAGAUCGGAAGGAACAUCUGUGGCGAAGGCGACUAUCUGGGCCAACACUGACACUGAGGCACGAAAGCGUGGGGAGCAAACAGGAUUAGAUACCCCAGUAGUCCCUGUCUCUUAUAC